UACGAAGGGGGCUAGCGUUGCUCGGAAUUACUGGGCGUAAAGCGCACGUAGGCGGAUUCUUAAGUCAGGGGUGAAAUCCUGGAGCUCAACUCCAGAACUGCCUUUGAUACUGGGGACCUUGAGUUCGGGAGAGGUGAGUGGAACUGCGAGUGUAGAGGUGAAAUUCGUAGAUAUUCGCAAGAACACCAGUGGCGAAGGCGGCUCACUGGCCCGAUACUGACGCUGAGGUGCGAAAGCGUGGGGAGCAAACAGG
rnacentral:rRNA from 1 species